UCCCUGGUAGUAUAUCGGUUAGUACACGCGCCUGUCAUGGGUCAUAGCUGAAAAUUCGCGCGAAAGCUGGGUUCGACUCCCAGCCAGGGAG